GCCUCUAAAAAAUCAAUGAGUCCAGCCGGCGAGGAGAGUUGUGCCAGCGCAAUCCCUUCGAGUCGUAUCGGAGACGUGCUCGGCGUGUCCCUUAGGAACUUAGCACUUUUACCUUUUAAAUUUCUCUAUUAUCUCAACAAAAAAGAUGUAACAACAUCGAAUUGCGAAAUGCCGGGUCAGGAAGACAUGGAUCUUUGCACCGACAAAGUCCUAUCCAAGAGUAGAAUUCUUCAAGAAUUAACAAAAGCCGUCAAAUUGGUAUACGCUCAGAGUCUGUAUGGUACCGUGGUCUUGGAUGGAGAAUCCUGGCUUGUUUAUUGGCUAGAUCGAGCACUGAGACAUGGUUUACGCACAGAAAGACACGGAUACUGGGGUACGGCAAGAGAACUAAGUCAUCAGGAUACUGUUGUAGUGAUACAUGCGCUCCAAAAUGUACUAACUUCCAUAGGAAAAGGUAGAGCAUGGUUAUAUCAUACCCUCAGCGAAGGCAGCUUUGAAAGUUAUUUAGCCUGCUUACUACGGGAUACUAAAACCUUAAAGAAACAGUACCAUACACAUGCACUUGUUCGUGAUGCAGAUAAGACAAACCAACUUGUAAAUCUCCUUGCUGGAUUAGAAAAUGUCUCCUUCACUUUACAACUAGAUGUGACAUAUUUGGAUUUUUGCAAUUAUAUGCCACAAAGGCCUAUGAGCAUAAACUCUUCUGGAACUGUAUUAUCUUUACAUCUAAGAUCUUCUAGUGUAUGCUCGAGCUUAGCCUCUCCCGGAGAUAGUGGUGUUGCAUUCGAUAGUGACAUGGACCUAGCGAAUGAAACUGAUGCCAGCAGUUAUAAAGAAGAAGAUUCUUCUAUGGAUGAUAUCCCAGAUUAUCGAAAUAACAGAUACAAAGUUAUUAUUAACAACUGUAUACAAGAGAACAAGAAUUUUAGCUCGAGUGAUUCUAGCGAGGAUGGAAAAACACCAAUGCAGUCUCCUGCAGUUAGCAAAUUUCAAAAUGUGAUUAUGACAAAGAGCGACAUAGCUAAUCAAAAUUUAACUAGAAAACUCGAAGAUAACGAACUCAACUGUUCGAGUUUGGACACUUUGAAAGGCUACGAUUUUUACAGCAGAAGUCUUGAUACGGUUCACUUGGAUGCUGUUAAUAAUAAAUGCGAUAAUGGAAUCAAAGAAAUAAAUAAAAGGAGCAGCUAUUACGGGGACGGCAGUUAUAGUUUCAAGAAGAACAUAGAUCCUCGUAAUUCUUAUGUGAUUAAUAAUGAUACUAAUCUCUUGGAAUUGAGCAUGACCAUUUCUGAUUGUGAUAAUAUAGAGCCUCCUUAUGGUAUUUUGAACACACUUAGUAUGGCAGAUGCUAGCAUUCUGUCAACUUCUAGUUCUGAAGCCAUAGUACAACGUAGACAACGUAAGAAGAAACGUGGUGAAAGCAAAAAACGUGUUAGUUUUCACGAAGAUAUUCUAAAAUCAAUUAAAUUAGAUGAAGACGAAAGCUUUGCUGAUUUCUCCAUGAGCUUUCUAACGCCGAACUCGAUUCAAAAGAAGGAUGCUCAGAAGGGACGUUACAGUUGGUGCGGCCACGGAGAUUCUCCUUAUGUUCAGAAAAGUACCAAUACAAGAAACGCGCAUUCUGAUUAUUAUUCUUUUUCGUCUUCAUCGAGCGUAUUCGACAGUGAUCUUGAGAAAAAAGGAGUAGAAAAGUUGUGCAACCAAACCUUGUGCCAGAAAAAUUGUAAAUGUUCUUGUGGUCUAUCUUUACCAGAACGUGGUUCACCGGAAGGACAAGAGGAUCCUGCUAAAAGUUUAAGACCAAAAAUGGAGAUAGAAUUAGAAGAGAACGAAGCACAAGAAGCAUAUAUCAUUGAAAAACAAUACGGCAAUAUUGUCGAAGAUCCACCAGUAAAAGUAGAAAUGCCAAGACCGUUAAACAUUAAGAAAUAUGCCAGUUCUAGUGAUUGGUCCGAUGUAGAGAGCGUUACAACUUCCGAUUUAGAAGAACGUAAGAUUAAUAGGCACUUAGCUUCGCCAUCUAAAAAACGUAACAUGACCUCGAUAUUAACGGGUGAAAGUAGCAAUAAAUUAUUGGCACCUCCUUUACGACAAGCACCAUCUAAAACGUCAUUGUUGAGUAGAUUUUUGAGAUCUAUUACGGAAAGAAAAUUUGAAAAUAAGAAAACAAUAAAGCAACAGAAGGCUAAUCCCUUAUAUAUCAAGGGAGUCAAAGCUAAUUAUGAUUCCUUCAAAGAUUUUAAUGAUAAUCUUGAGAGAGAAAUACAAGAGAAUGUUGCUGCAGAAAAACAAGAAUUUAGCGGAGAGAAAAUAAGCCUAAAAUUGCGAGAAACCUUUAAGAAACAUAUUUACAGAGACAAGACAGAAGAAUUGUAUAAAGUUUAUAAAGUUAGAAGUUCAUACAUGACAAAUGGAGAAAGCAAGCCUAUGAUCGCGUUACUAACAGAUAAAACAUUAUAUUUAACUGGCUCAAAAAUGGAUCAUUCGUACAGUAAUCAAUUCGUAAUUCCUUACAACGAGCUAGAUGUUAUAAUGAUUGGACCAAAUGCACAAACGAUUUUAAUCUCCAACGCUGAUUAUGAGAUGCAGUAUUUAUUUUCUACUGGCAAUUCACAAACCACUUCUGAAUUAAUUACACACUUGGAAAUAGCUAUGAGAAGAUCACCAUCAAAACCUCAAUUGCCAGCUGUAAAAGAACUAAGUUACGAAGACAUGCAUAAUUUGAAGCAAUCGAUAUUAUCCGAUACUGCUGUACAUCCUGAUGAAAAAAUAGAACAUUACAGUCUUAUUUAUAUGGAGGAUGAACACAUGUCUCCUCCAAGUACACCAUGUGGACCUACCAAGGAAGGAGAUCUUAUGUUUAGACCUCAUACUUAUCAGCAAAUACAUCCCAAUGCACCAAUAAAUCCUUGGGAAGCUGGAUAUUUUGUUCUUAAAGGCGGUGUAGUUUACAUGUUUACAGAUUCAAAUCAACGCCUUCCUAAACGUGCCAUUCCAUUAAAAGGUGGCCUGUGUCAAGGUUGCAGAAGAAUUCCCAACUCACAUAGACCGCAUACAUUUGAAAUACUUUUGAAACCAAACAAAGCGUUUCAAUUUGCUGCACCAGAUGAAUAUGUUGCUUCUGAAUGGUUGCAAAGUUUUGUCCAGAGUGCAUCUGGUUUAUUUGAUUGUUCAGAUAAGAGGGAGCCUAUGCCUUGUAGUCUUAUCACGACUACCAGACAUUUAGUUGCUAUGAAAGAAGUAUAUCCAGGUACUCAACGCAAUCAAACAUUAUCCUGUGCUUCUGUGGAAGAUUUAACAGCAUUCAGAGUACCCUUACCUGAACAAUCUUGGUGUAUAUUGGAAUUCGCAUGCCGGGAGGUUCACGAAAGUAGCGGUGAUUGGGUUAUAUAUUUUACUAAUUAUACAGAGCUCUGUACCUUUAGAGAGAUAUUACAAACAUUAUGGGCCGAUGCGGAUUUGGGUGAAUUUCCUAUGGUUACGCUUCCUCCAGAAGAUAAACUUCAUCGACGCUGUUCGGAUGCUAGUAAAGAUUUAGAAUAUGCUUGGCAAUAUUUAUUACCGUCAACAGUCGAAUAAACAGUAAAGUGUAUCAAUAGACACACGAUAGAAAUACCUUUAAAAACAAAUAUUUUACUUUAACUCCUGAUAAAGAAAAAAAAAAACAAAGAAUUGCAUAUUGAUAACCUACAAGGUAAUAUCGAAAAAAUCGAAAAUAAUGAAUUUUACUUUUAAUGGUAUAAUACACUACACGUUUAAGUGUUAUGUUACUAAGAAGUAGCAUACUAUACUGAAAUUACAACGUACAUGUUAUAUUUUAGUUUUAAAUUAAAUUGAAAAUUUGAGUAAUGUAUUAAAUGUUUAGGUUGCCUGAUUUUAACUUAGUAAUUUUAAAUGAUAUUAAUUAAUUGUGCCACGUGCACAAAGUGGUGCAAUUUAUUGUCUCUUAGUAUAAAUUUUCCUAAUUAUUUACUAGUAAUUUAUAUUGGUAUGUGAAUUGUAAUAUAUUGGCAAUUGUGAAGGAUUGUGUUAAAUCACAUGUAUGAGUGUCUAUGUACUCACAUUUAUCUAAGAAAAUAGGAUAAUGAAUAUGCACUAACUGCAAUGAAAAUUAAUUAUCUUUGAGAAAAUGUUCUCUAAACAAAAAAGGGAACAGAAAUUAUAAGCUUAAAUUAAAUUUGCAAAAAUUAAUCUAAUACUCUGUAUACCGCUUGAUAUACGAUGAGUAUAUAACGAAUGAUUAACAUUCCUAAUACAGGUUAUAAUUUUCCACGAAGAUUGCUUGAAACAUUUAAAAAUGUAAAGGUUACGUAUAUGAUCUCAAACAUAAGAUUUAAAUGCUUUACGUUAACGCUAUUGGAUUAAAUGGUUUAAGAAAGAGACUUCACGAAUCAUUAUGGAGCUGUAAUGGUCAAAUCUUGUGAAGUAUCGUGGCAAGACAAAUAAUAAAACAGUUGUAUAUUAU
rnacentral:misc_RNA from 1 species